rnacentral:rRNA from 1 species
GUACGAGAGGACCGAGAUGGCUUGACCGCUGGUGCGUCAGUUGGCCUGCCUGGGCCAGAGCUGAGUAGCUACGUCAAGAAAGGAGAAGCGCUGAAAGCAUCUAAGCGCGAAGCCGACCCCAAGAAGAGUCUUCCCGCUCUCUCCGAGAGGAGGGAGCCAAGACCCCAGAAAGAAGAUCUGGUAGAUAGACCGUGCGUGGACGUCUGGUAACAGGCGAAGCGGAACGGGACUAAUGGUCGAACGGCUUGUUGA